GCGCACGCUGGCGACAGGCUUAACACAUGCCAGUCGAGCGGGCAUCCUUGUGGUGUCAGCGGCAGACGGGUGAGUAACGCGUGGGAACGUGCCCUUCGGUUCGGAAUAACUCAGGGAAACUUGAGCUAAUACCGGAUACGCCCUUUUGGGGAAAGGUUUACUGCCGAAGGAUCGGCCCGCGUCUGAUUAGCUAGUUGGUGAGGUUACGGCUCACCAAGGCGACGAUCAGUAGCUGGUCUGAGAGGAUGAUCAGCCACACUGGGACUGAGACACGGCCCAGACUCCUACGGGAGGCAGCAGUGGGGAAUAUUGGACAAUGGGGGCAACCCUGAUCCAGCCAUGCCGCGUGAGUGAUAACAGCCUUAGGGUUGUAAAGCUCUUUUCUCCGGGACGAUAAUGACGGUACCGGAGGAAUAAGCCCCGGCUAACUUCGUG
rnacentral:rRNA from 1 species